UCUUCCACAAUGGACGCAAGUCUGAUGGAGCAACGCCGCGUGAGUGAAGAAGGGUUUCGGCUCGUAAAGCUCUGUUGUUAAAGAAGAACGUGGGUGAGAGUAACUGUUCACCCAGUGACGGUAUUUAACCAGAAAGCCACGGCUAACUACGUGCCAGCAGCCGCGGUAAUACGUAGGUGGCAAGCGUUAUCCGGAUUUAUUGGGCGUAAAGCGAGCGCAGGCGGUCUUUUAAGUCUAAUGUGAAAGCCUUCGGCUCAACCGAAGAAGUGCAUUGGAAACUGGGAGACUUGAGUGCAGAAGAGGACAGUGGAACUCCAUGU
rnacentral:rRNA from 1 species